rnacentral:piRNA from 1 species
UGGCAGUCAGGUUUAUUGUUGGGAA